CAGCAGAUGCAAGACAGACAAACAAAAACAAACCAAAACAAAAAAAAAACAAUAAAACAACUGUCUGCCUUCCCCCUGUAGGCCAAAAAGGAGGGCAUUAAUUUCCCUUUGUGUUAGAGCAGAAUGAGAAGAUUAUAGACUUUCAUCACCCCCAGAGACAGCACCGAAAGGAAUCUGUAUAACAAACCUUACUAAGAUAACCCUUAUCUCCUAUUCAUGUCCCCCGUAUACUUACCUUCCCACAUCUUGCCGCCCCUAAAGCUCUAAGCUUCUUUCCUUUCGCCUUGUGACUUCUCUACAAAUGUAUGGUUCUUUGUCAAAAAGGUAUAUUAUCUCUCAAGCCUAACUGCUUCUCUGGGGUUCUCACUUCUUUCUAGAAAGGUCUCCAUGCCACCUAAGAAUAUUAAUAUCAAAUGAAAUGGGUAUGCCUUUUCUCCUGCUAAUCUGCCUUUUGUCAGUUUCAUUUACAGGGUCCCAGAAAUAGAACCUAAGAAGGUAGGGUUUCAAUCGGUGCAACAAGUAUGCGGGACUGCACGUAUAUUGUGAUAUGUGAAGAGCUUAUCCAAGCAUGCACAACACAAUCGUUGCCUCUGCAAUGGAGUCACCUGCAGACAGGAGCUCCUGGAGUAUGUCAGAUACACCAGCAUCAUGCUGGACAGCUCAGAGAGACAUGGAUAAACACCACGAAAGAGUUCCAUGCCCAGAUCAACUAAGUCUUAACUCUGCGCUCCAUCCAAGGUCCCACAGCUGGGAAGGUGCGUGUGGUGAGAACAUUGCGUGCAGAAUCAAGGAGCAUCACUGAAGGUCAGAGGGAAGCCAGAGAAUGCAAGGAGCGUUGGUGGAGGGAGGGACCUACCUCGUCAGGAAUGCCAGGGCCCAGGUGUCAGCCCGACCACGUGGCAGAACACGAUUGUCAUUCAAUGUCCCACGUCCUCAUUGGAAAACUCAAGCUGGGCUGUUACAAGGAGACGAUAUCAGAGACACAAAAACUGACCACUGAAACAACAAUGCAUUCCGCCCAGAGGCAGCUCACCAACCCACAAGCCCAGGCAGGGAGAGACGUUUGGGCUGGGAGGUGGACACCUCAUGUCAGGAUUGAAGACACACAGUGAGGAAGAUGGCUUCCGUCCUCUCUCAUGGCUGGACAAGUAGGGGCCAUCCGCCUUGUCUCAGCCCUCAAUGACCUUGACUCCUGUAGGACAUUAUCCUUUCCCAUCAGCCCCCUCUACCUGUCCAGACCUACACUGAUCUGUGCGUUCACAAGAAGCUCCAAAUUCCCCGUGAACUUGACCGUGGUCUUUGUAGUAGCAUGUACCCUCACCCUUCUCCAGACACCUAGAAUACUUACAGUCAAGACCAUAAAUGCCCCUCUCCUUCCUUCCUGGAACGUUCAAGAUGUUUCAUCUUUCUUACGUCUUGAGUACACGGCCACCGGCACCCAGUUAGAGCCUGGGGUUUUGUAAUGUGAGACACAGAAAUGCAGCCACAGACCAGAGGAUACGACUCUGAAAAUGAAAAGGGCUCUGACGACCACCAGGUUCGAUUCAUUUUUUUUCCACAUGAGCUUUCAUCACUGCCCUUUCAUUGCAAUGCAUGGUUGGAGGGGAGCAGGGAGGAAUUCUCCAAUGACUGCGGCACCCGCGUUCUCACCCCUACAACCACCCCUACAACCACUGAAAUCCAACUUACGACGCUAUAUGCCUGGUAUUUCUUGAGGACUCUUCUGGGGGAAGCGUAUGUAACUGGUGUGUUAAACAAUCAUGACUCAUUGGGUGUAAACAUAAAGCAAAUUUAAUUUUGUCUCCUACCAUCCCUUUCGAAUUCAGGAGGUGGGAGGGAUUCUUCGUACACCUCUGGAGGAAAUCAUAGGAGGUCUGAGAGCUUUCUUUUGCUGGCUCUCCGUCCGCCCUCUCUCUCUCUCUCUGUCUCUGUCUCUCUCUUCCUGCACCUGCAACAGGUGUGCACUCCCAUCCCUUUCCUCCUGCAGGGGGGCAUCACCGAGGCAGAGGCAGUUGUGAAGGGAAGGAUUUCACAGAAUUGCCCAGCUGCCCCAGUUCCACCUGGGAGAAUCAGCUCACUGCGGGGAGAAGGGGAGACUGCUAGGUCCGUGCGCCGAGCCCCCUUUCCAGUCCAGCUGGAAAGGCGAUCAGCAGAAGCCUUUAUUUCUCUCUGACACCCGUGUGCACUUGGCAGUGGGCUUGCAAUCCAGUGGGGAGGGGUGUGCAUUAGUUGGCUUCUCAAAAGACACAGGUGAGGGUCUCACAGACACCCCCAAAGUCACCGCAGGGGAGCAACAGACUCUGUGCUGUGUUGAAAUAUCAGGGUUUCUCUCGUGGUCAAGCAGAGGCCUCAUAGACUUGUGCCCACGUGAGCCUGUGACCUUGCAGUUUGCAACAGCUCACACCGUGACUGGGAGUGUUCGGGGAGAUUCCUCCAAACUCACAGUUGGUGUCAGAAGUGAGGACGGUCACAUGGAAGGUCCCCUCCUCUGAGGGUCCACCUGUUUCCUUGUUUCUUUGGCCUCAGGCAUCUCUCUGCCUCACCAGGAUUUGAGUGGGUACGUAGGUUCAGUUCUGCGGGGAAACAAGGAAAGUCCAUCAUGGGUCGUAUCCCAGUUUUUUCUCCUAAACUAAGUCUGACCUUAAUGAAAUAGCUGUUUGCGUCAUGAUCGCUGCCCCAUAGAUGUCUCCACUGGCCAAGCCCAGAUUUCCCAUCUAGGUUACUCUGGAAGCUAACACGCUGCCGGGUUUGGGAAAGAGAGAGUAACAUAAAUGUUACUCUUUGUUCCUAACAGGGGUAAAAAACACAGCCACGUGCCCUGCGGGGUCCAAACACUAGGCUCUGCUAAAAGAAAUCCUGCCCAGAAUUUGACCCAGACAGAGUCUGUAGACUUGUUACCGACUCUUUGAAUCGUAAGUAGAAAUAACUAAAAUGUGGUCUAGACACAGAAUGGGGGUAUCAUACAACCUUAAAGAGAAAGGAAGUACUUUACAGCCCGGAUGAACUUCAA